rnacentral:tRNA from 1 species
GAGGGUGUAGCUCAGUGGUAGAGUACAUGCUUAGCAUGCACAAGGUCCUGGGCUCAAUCCCCAGUACCUCCA